GAGUGGUUCAGCUCCUUUCUCUCUCCUGCCUCUCAAAAAGAUGCUAUUCCUGUGAUUAAAACCAUUACAGUGCUUCAAAGGUUAUACAUGACUUUCAGGCUUCAACCUCAAUAGAAGCAGAUGGUACUAAUUUGAACACAUCAUUCCAUGCUUCCUGGAGUAAUCACACAGCUUGCUUAGAUUUUCUAAACAUGACUGAACUGUGAUGAAGCGAUCAACAUUAACUGCCAAGACUCCACAUAGCAAUGAUGUGCUGGCCACCCACUGGGAAAACACCUGUCACCCCUUGAUGGACCUUUCUGACACUGUUUGCCUGUCCUCAAAAGUUCCUGGUAAUCUACUCCAGUACUCUCCAAUACAUACAGAAUAUCGGAAUUACCUAGAGAGAUUCUUAAGUGCAUGGAUUCUUAAGCUUCACUCAUUGAGGCUAUGAGUCAGCAAGUCUGGGAUGAAGUCCAGAAAUGCCAUUAAAGGCUUUAAUAAAGAAGGCACAUUUAAGCUGGGCUUUUAAAAAUGAAUAAAAUUUUAUGUGUCAUAGAAAGGGAAAAUAAUAAUACAGUUAAAGGAAGCAAAGCAAUCUGAUGAUGAAAAAUGGUUGGAUAUGUUUAAAGAAGAGAAUCUAGUCAAUUAUUAGUUCAUACUAGAUGUUUAAUAAAUGUUUUCUGAGUUAAAAUACUGAAAUAGUGAAAUAGCAUGCUAAAUAAAUGAAGUUUGGCUGGAGACAUCAGCUAUAUGAGAAGAUACAAUAAAAGGAUAUAAGAAUAAAAAGCUAGAGAGAAGCCAAAUUCUAAUUAGCGAUGGAUUCUGGGAUAUUUUCUAGACAAUGAGAAUGAGCAAAAUAUUUGGAGUAUUUUAACCCAUCUCCUACACAUGGUGCCUUUCAUUAUUACUUCUGUGCUUCAGGUACCCAACUUGACACGUCUAAACUUUAUUGUUCAGAUAUUACAUUUCACCUGCCAAUGUAUAAAUGGUCUAAUUGUAUGUUAGAACCAAUUCAAUUAAGUGAGUAGGAGGAAAGAUGAGACUUAUGGGUAGGCUAAAGUAGUGUGGGUGAUAAGGCUAGUUAAGAUGUUAUUACAGGAAGCAACAAGGUCCCUCUAAUAUACAAUGGUGGUGGCCAAGGUGGAGAAGGGGCAAAUUGCAGAGCCCUGAUGGAAAUUGAAUUGAUAAGACCUGAUUGUAUGUAGAAGAGAUGGAGUAAGGAAUUGUAUAAAACUAUGAGGCUUGGGGUCCAAUGGAUUGUCAAGAACAGGCAUAGAAAACUAAGAAAAAGACAGUGAUUUCAUGUAACACAAAUUCCAUUUCAUAUAUAUUUGGAGUUGAUACUCCAACUAGGUCUUCAGUUGGGAUUUUUCAACAAUUUGGGUGAAUGUGCAAGAAAAAGAGAAAGAGGAUAAAUGCAGGAGAUAUUAGAAUAAAUUGAUGGGGUAAUAUCCUAGAGAAGACAUAAGAUUAAAAUGAAAAUGAACAGCUAGAUCCCUGAAAGAGGAAGGCAAGGACUUCCUAAGAGAAGAUAUCUGGAGGGCAUAAAUAAAGACAUGGAUAAAUUUUGAUGGAAGGAGGGCCUAUCAAUAUAUUUGAUAUUAUUAGUAAAAUAACAAUAAAUAUGGAUGAUGGGGGAACAGACUAGGUUCAGAAAGAGAACAAUUUUCAUAUGGAAUAGAGAGUAUUCCUAUGAACAUAUUUCCUAUGAAGAAUAAACAAGGGAUACAUAGAAAAUUUUGGAGCAGCUGGGACAAUUAAGGACGAUGAAUUUAUAGACAAACAAAGUAGAAUCAUUUCUAUUUUUUCCUAGAAAUAUUUACCAGUCAGCAUCUUGGAAAAAACAAAUAAUGGGGCCUUCUCAGAGUGAGGAAGCUUCCUGGAGGGUAAGUCACAAUGACAUGGUAUGAGAUCUAAGGAGCAAAGAGAUGGUGUUGUUGAAAUGUAACUAUUCCAUCCUGGAAAGGGAAACACCGUAGUCUGAAAAAAUGUUGCACUGGAAGAAUGAGAAGGAAAGGAUGUGGAGUUAGAUGCUGAAAUCAGAGAGAAGGCAGACUAUGUCUUGAUGUUCUAGGUUUACAGCCUCAAGACGGCUUGAAAGACGUUUCCAAGAUAAAGGGUCUGGAUGUGCCAGAAGUUAACAAUUAUUGCCAAUAUCUACAGUGAAGUGGUGUUAUCAGGAAAGAAACAGGUUUUAAUUUAUAUAAGCAGGUAGAAUAUGGAAGAAAAUAGGAUGAAGGAUAUUAUGAUACAGGACAGAGCACUGCUAGGGAAGGUGAGAAUUUCGUCUUGUGGACUAAAGCUUAACGACCCGGAUAUUUUAUUCAAAUAACAUGAAAGAUAAAGGCUGGUAUAAAGGGGAGAAAAUAGAUGAAAAUGAGUCUGAUACUGCAACCAUAUAGUUCAGGAAAACAUCUAGAAUUCCAUAAAAACAAGUAAGACUAAAAAGAGAUAUACAUGAAAGGUUUACAUGUUUAUUUCUUCUUUUAAAUCACAAUAAAGCAUAAUUCAUUAGGUGGGGGUUUUAUAUUUGUGGAAAUACAGUAAAGAGGAUCAUCUCUCUUUUUUUCCUCCCUUCAAUCUCCCAAUGUUUUGGAGAAGGGUCAAUGUAGUACACAGCUGGUACUCAAGCAACACGUGGGAUAAAAAGCCUGUGUUGUAUUUUUUAAUAUGUGCUUUGUAUGUUUAGAUAAGUAUGCUAUAAAGAUUGCAGGUGGUAUUGACACAAUCCCCAAAUAGUUAAAGGUUUCAUGUUAGUUACCUGUUUCACGUU
rnacentral:lncRNA from 1 species